AUCCAGCUGACGAGUCCCGAAUAGGAGUUGAAGCGCGUCCUGGAU
rnacentral:hammerhead_ribozyme from 1 species